GACGAACGCUGGCGGCGUGCUUAACACAUGCAAGUCGAACGGAAAGGCCCUGCUUUUGUGGGGUGCUCGAGAGGCGCACGGGUGAGUAACACGUGUGUAACCUGCCCUUGACUUUGGGAUAAAUUCAGGGAACUGGGGCUAAUACCGGGUAGGAGCUCCUGCUGCACAGUGGGGAACGGAAAGUUUCGGCGGUCGGGGAUGGACUCGCGGCUUAUCAGCUUGUUGGUGGGGUAGUGGCUUACCAAGGCUUUGACGGGUAGCCGGCCUGAGAGGGUGACCGGCCACAUUGGGACUGAGAUACGGCGCAGAAUCCUACGGGAGGCAGCAGUGGGGAAUAUUGCACAAUGGGCGGAAGCCUGAUGCAGCAACGCCGCGUGCGGGAUGACGGCCUUCGGGUUGUAAACCGCUUUCGCCUGUGACGAAGCGUGAGUGACGGUAAUGGGUAAAGAAGCACCGGCUAACUACGUG
rnacentral:rRNA from 1 species